GACGAACGCUGGCGGCGUGCCUAAUACAUGCAAGUCGAACGCAGUGGGGACGGGUGCGUACCACGUGGGUAACCUCCCAUCAGAGGGGAUAACACUUGGAAACAGGUUCUUAACCGAUACUGAUGGAUGGACCCGCGGUGCAUUAGCUAGGUGGUGAGGUAACGGCUCACCAAGGCCACGAUGCAUAGCCGACCUGAGGGGGUGAUAGGCCACACUGGGACUGAGCGACGGCCCAGACUCCCACGGGAGUCAGCAGUGGGGAAUCUUCGGCAAUGGAAGAAAGUCUGACCGAGACACGCCGCGUGAGUGAAGAAGGGUUUCGGAUCGUAAAACUCUGUUGUUAGAGAAGCGGUAUCUAACCAGAAAGCCACGGCUAACUACGUGCCAGCCGCCGCGGUAAUAC
rnacentral:rRNA from 1 species